UACGUAGGUGACAAGCGUUGUCCGGAUUUACUGGGCGUAAAGAGCGCGCAGGCGGUCGUUCAAGUCGAGUGUGAAAGCCCCCGGCUCAACUGGGGAGGGUCAUUCGAUACUGAUCGACUCGAAGGCAGGAGAGGGUAGUGGAAUUCCCGGUGUAGUGGUGAAAUGCGUAGAUAUCGGGAGGAACACCAGUGGCGAAGGCGGCUCACUGGUCCGGUACUGACGCUGAGGUGCGAAAGCGUGGGGAGCAAACAGGG
rnacentral:rRNA from 1 species